rnacentral:rRNA from 1 species
CGCGUAGGCGGCUUUGCGUGUCUCCCGUGAAAUCCCUCGGCUCAACCGAGGACGUGCGGAAGAAACUGCAAGGCUCGAGUCCGGAAGAGGGGGGCGGAAUUCCCAGUGUAGCGGUGAAAUGCGUAGAUAUUGGGAGGAACACCAGUGGCGAAGGCGGUCCCCUGGGCCGGAACUGACGCUGAGGCGCGAAAGCGUGGGUAGCAAACG